rnacentral:rRNA from 1 species
CUCGAACGUACCCGAAGGCCGGCCAAAAGGCGAGCUGCAGUCCUCAGUCUCACCCAGUGCAUGCAAUAAUAGUCUAUAACACUCCCGAGGGAGCUACAUUCCUACUAUCUUUAUCCACCGGACAAAACUGAUGUUGACCCGUUCAAAGGAAGUAGACUAGAAGAACUAGCUGAAUCCAAAGAACACGACUGACUUCAAUCGUUUCCCUUUCAACAAUUUCACGUACUGUUUAACUCUCUUUCCAAAGUGCUUUUCAUCUUUCCCUCACGGUACUUGUUCGCUAUCGGUCUCUCGCCAAUAUUUAGCUUUAGAUGGAAUUUACCACCCAUUUUGAGCUGCAUUCCCAAACAACUCGACUCGUAGAGCGUGUAUCACAGAGCACUGGUGGUCGUAUCAAGCACGGGAUUGUCACCCUCUUUGAUACCCUGUUCCAAGGGACUUAGAUACGGUCCAGCACGGAAAACACGUCUAUAGAUUACAACUCGGACUAUCGAAGACAGCCAGAUUACAAAUUUGAGCUUUUCCCGGUUCACUCGCCGUUACUAAGGGAAUCCUUGUUAGUUUCUUUUCCUCCGCUUAUUGAUAUGCUUAAGUUCAGCGGGUAGCCCUACCUGAUUUGAGACCAGAGUUCAAGAAUUGUCCGAAGACGAUUAGAAGCGUACUUCUCAAGCCGACACCAGCGAAACUUAUUACGCCAGA